rnacentral:rRNA from 3 species
UGAUGUGUAGGAUAGGUGGGAGGCUUUGAAGUGUGGACGCCAGUCUGCAUGGAGCCGACCUUGAAAUACCACCCUUUAAUGUUUGAUGUUCUAACGUGGACCCGUAAUCCGGGUUGCGGACAGUGUCUGGUGGGUAGUUUGACUGGGGCGGUCUCCUCCUAAAGAGUAACGGAGGAGCACGAAGGUUGGCUAAUCCUGGUCGGACAUCAGGAGGUUAGUGCAAUGGCAUAAGCCAGCUUGACUGCGAGCGUGACGGCGCGAGCAGGUGCGAAAGCAGGUCAUAGUGAUCCGGUGGUUCUGAAUGGAAGGGCCAUCGCUCAACGGAUAAAAGGUACUCCGGGGAUAACAGGCUGAUACCGCCCAAGAGUUCAUAUCGACGGCGGUGUUUGGCACCUCGAUGUCGGCUCAUCACAUCCUGGGGCUGAAGUAGGUCCCAAGGGUAUGGCUGUUCGCCAUUUAAAGUGGUACGCGAGCUGGGUUUAGAACGUCGUGAGACAGUUCGGUCCCUAUCUGCCGUGGGCGCUGGAGAACUGAGGGGGGCUGCUCCUAGUACGAGAGGACCGGAGUGGACGCAUCACUGGUGUUCGGGUUGUCAUGCCAAUGGCACUGCCCGGUAGCUAAAUGCGGAAGAGAUAAGUGCUGAAAGCAUCUAAGCACGAAACUUGCCCCGA